GAAGUUGUCUGCUACAUUUUGGGGCGAGUUUGUUGAUGAAAUUGUACCUCAUCUGCUAAGUUCUAACAACCAGCCUAUUAUUGUUGUUAUGCAGCUCAUAAAAGCCCAUAAAUUUCAAGAUUCAUAUUCUGUGCGCAAUACUUGGAAUGCAUCAAAGCUGUGGAUUAAUCCAAAUUUUCCUCAAUCUGACGAAUUUAAAAUACGAUUACUUUCUGUUCGGGAUAAUAACUCCGAGAGGCUGACUAAAACCAUCUCUCAACAAAGUUACUCUGUCUCGGAUGAGUUGGAGAAGGG